rnacentral:rRNA from 1 species
UGGGGGAUAUUGCACAAUGGGGGUAAACCCUGAUGCAGCGACGCCGCGUGGGUGAAGAAGCGCCUCGGCGCGUAAAGCCCUGUCAGCAGGGAAGAAAAUGACGGUACCUGAAGAAGAAGCCCCGGCUAACUACGUGCC